AGAAAACAUUUCACAUCAGUGCUAUGGAUACUAGAGAUAAAACAAGAUAAAAUGACAAACACAGUAUGCCAAUGAAGAAAAUGGACUCAAAAAAAAUGAGAAUAGGAACAAAAUGCAGAUGUCAGGAGGAUGUUACUGAAGGUGAAUGUUCCACACAUUUAAAGGGCCAUACUAUUUACCACAAUGCUAAGAUUUGCUCCACACGACUCAUCAGGUUUUUCCUCAACCUGCAAAACAGAGAGGAGAGCAUCAUCUGAGAAAACUAUAUUGAAGUAAUUACAGAACAAACUUCCACGUCAAGGAUUAAGAUAUGAGUUAACAAGAUAAAUGAGCACAGAAACUACGAGUAGGCUGCAAAAGGGAAAAUGCUCCCGGAGAACAUCUGUUUUGGGUAAAGCAAUUUAAUUACAAAGAUCAUGGUGGUAUCGUCAGGAUUUAUUUCAAGAGAAGAGCAAGAAGCAAAAGAGGGCGGUGGGAACCCUUGACACCCUCCUUUAUCAUCAGCAAUGUAGGAGCCAAGAAAAAUCUGCCUCCUUUUGUUUGCCUUUGUAUCAAUUUCCUCUUCUGAAAUAAAGAAGUCCAAGCAAAGUGGUCUGGUUUUUGA
rnacentral:lncRNA from 1 species